GACCUCGUAGCUCAGUUGGCAGAGCAUUGGGCUAGUAUUCCAAAGGUCGUAAGUUCGAUUCCCACCGUGGUCA
rnacentral:tRNA from 1 species